AGCCCUGGAUCCAGCNCUUCCGCGAUGGGGUGAAGAAGGUCUUCGGUAUUGUAAAGCCCUUUUGGCCGGGCACGAUGAUGACUGUACCCAGCAUCAAUAAGCUCCGGCUACCUUCGUGCCAGCAGCCGCGGUAAUACGAAGGGGGCUAGCGUUGCUCGGAAUGACUGGGCGUAAAGGGCGCGUAGGCGGACUGCACAGUCAGGCGUGAAAUUCCUGGGCUUAACCUGGGGACUGCGUCUGAGACUUGUGAUCUAGAGUGAGGAAGAGGGUCGUGGAAUUUCCAGUGUAGAGGUGAAAUUCGUAGAUAUUGGAAAGAACACCGGUGGCGAAGGCGGCGACCUGGUCCUUUACUGACGCUGAGGCGCGAAAGCGUGGGGAGCAAACAGGAUUAGAUACCCUGGGUAGUCCACGCUGUAAACGAUGUGUGCUUGAUGUUGGGGUGCUUAGCACUUCAGUGUCGGAGCUAACGCGGUAAGCACACCGCCCGUGGGAAGUACGGCCGC
rnacentral:rRNA from 1 species